GUUCACGAAGAUGAUAAAAUAAUAUUUUCUCAAUCGACGAAUCGAUACAAAUCGAGGCUUCAUUCAAUAGAAAACCUAUGGUGUUCUUGUGACUAUAUUUAGAUCAUUCAAAAUGAAGUUAAGGGUAACUAAAUGCAGUAAGAUAUUUUAUUGACUAAAAAUGUUGUACAACUUUUUUCUUAUUAAUUCGUUCACCCUUACAAUUUUAUGAAAGUAAAUCAACGAACAUUUUUAAUUUUAACAUAUUCUUAAAUUAUCUUCACUUUUGUUUAUUUUUCUCUCUGAAGUUCAAAAGAAAAUAAUUGAUCCAUGAAGAGAAUAUCCAACAGAUUAAGGUGAAGAAUAAUGUUGCAAUAUUUAAUUUAUGUCAAUAACUGAGAGAAAGGUAUAUGUAUAUUCUAAUAGACUAGUACUUUUUAUAAAAGUGAUGUAUAGUGGAGGUGAAAAAACGAGUCCGGCCAAUACAAUCGUUAUAGUAUAGGAGCAAGAGUGAACUUACCGUAUUCAAGUAGAUGAUACGAUACUGUAGUAAUAAAGUUCUUUAUUUUCUAUUUUAAAUAGAACGCAAUACCAUUUUACUCAUUGAAGUUAAAAUCAGCUGUGUAAUACAUUAAUUAUGGCAUAAAAUUUAUGUCGCAUUGCACAACGUAGUGAUAAAUCUUUGGGAAAAAACUAUUAGAAAUUUUCACCAAUUGUAAUCAUUAUUCUUACUCAUUGGAUUUCAACAAGCCUACGAUAUAAUAUAUAAGCAAGAAUUUUUGGAAAUAAAAAAUUAUAUUUUUCAUCAUGUCUCAAGUGACCAGACCUAAAUUACUCAAACAAAUUCAUGCUGGAGUUGUUAAAAGCCAACUUGAUAUUGAAUAUGAAUCUAAGGUUGAACUACUUGAAAAAAUGGGUGGACUUUUAGAAAUAAAUGGACAGAAAUAUGAAGUAAAUUUGAAAGAUUUUGAAUAUUUAGGAUUCCUAGGUAAUGGCACUUGUGGACAUGUAAUGAAAAUGAAACAUAAACCAAGUGGAAUUAUUAUGGUAGUCAAACGAAAGCGAAGAUGCAAUACAUGUGAUGUACAUGAAUAUCAGUAUAAGAAAAUGAUCAUUGAUUUACCCAUCGAUCUAAAAACUAAUGAUUGUCAGCAUAUUGUUCAAUGCUUUGGCUUUUACUUUAGUGGUGGCCUUUGGGUUUUUAUGGAAUUAAUGGAGACUAGUCUAAUAAAAUUAUUAAAAAAGUGUAAAGGAACAAUACCAGAGUAUAUUUUAGGAAAAGUAACAGUUGCUAUAUUAAAAGCUUUAACUUACUUAAAAGAAAAGCAUGGAGUACAACACAAAAAUAUCAAACCUUGUAAUAUUUUUUUGGAUACAUCCGGGGAAGUAAAACUAAGUGAUUUUAGAAUACCUGAUCGAUACCUCAAUAUAAUAAAUACUGAUGAAUACACUUUAUAUGCAGCUCCGGAAAGAAUACUUCUUCCAAACUUUCCAAAAUCUGAAAAUUAUGACAGAGAAAAUGUUUGGAGUUUAGGCAUAAUAUUAAUAGAAUUAAGUACAGGAGUGUUUCCAUACAGAGUUUGUCACACUGUUUUUGAGGCAAUGGCUGUGAUUCUUAAAUACACACCUUCUAUAUCUCCUCAUGCGCGACUUUCUCCAGAGCUUCGAGAUUUUAUUGAUUUUUGUUUAAUAAAAGAUUACCAACAACGUCCCGAAUAUGAUGAACUAAUGAAACAUCCUUUUUUUCAAAAAUAUGCAAAAUUUGAUUGCAAAACAAUGAGUAUUCUAGCUGUAAGUGGUUUUACAAAACUGUAUGACAAUUGGAGUCAAGCAUUUAAUUUAUGGAAAACCACAAACAAAAGAAAAAUUGAGUCAAUAACUGAUUCAACUAGUAUCUGAAAGUUUAUUCAAAAUUCUAAACAAUUUCGGAAAAAGGAAAAAAUGUUCACGAUUGGAAGCAAUUGAUUUCAAUUUAUUGCAAUUUAUUAGAAUUAAGAUUUCAUUCUGCAGACUUUGGAAUCUGUAAUCUCUAACAUCACAAUGGUAAACAAUUUAUUUUUAUUCAUGAAGUAAUCUAAUCUCAUUGAUAUAAAUGGUAAAUCUUUUGUCUCGCACGUUUUUGAUGAAAAACUUAAAUUUUGUUUCUAUAAAGCGAUCAGUGCGUUCAAUCGAAUUCGUUUGUUGGUUCAAUCUAUUCGUAACUUUGAAAUCGCUAAGCUAAUAGUUUAACUUAGAUAUUUCCUCAUAGUUUAAUUUUCACGUAGUGAAGGAAACAGCAAUUCAUUUCUCCAAAUGAUCUUAGUUAGUCCAAAACAUGAAUAAAUAAUAAGAAAGUCUAUGUACGUCAUCUUAAAUUUAUCAGUUAAUCCAUUCGAAGUGCUCUAACAGAUGCACAGUUGAUGUCAUUUUUCUAGUAUAUAUAGAGCUCGACUAAUGAGAGGCGGCACUGAACUAUGAUUCAUCGAACAUCGUUGAUACUUCUCACAGCCCUACACAUACUAAUGCUUUUAAUCAAGCAUUUUAAUUAAUAAUCCUUUCAUGCCUCGCUCGAAACAUUAAAUCUGAAGCCGUUAUUUAGUAAACUUAUUAUAUGACUUUUAAAAAAAGAAGAUAGAUUUACAUGACGUCUCUGAAAGCUUAAUUUGAAAUGACAACAGCUGAUAAAUUCAAUGUUACGGGCUAUAUGAAAUAGCCAAGAAUUACCCUUUUAUAAUGUAUUAUUAUUGUCUAUGCAUACGUUAGUGCUUAUAUGAUCUCGAACUAAUAUGUUAUGUUUGGGUCAUUCUGUACUCUGUAAACGAAAUGGAUCAAUCGUAUCCGGCUUGAAGGACCAAAAUUUUCACUAUCAAAACUGUCUGAUAUAACUUUGUUAUCAUCAGAUUUAGUCUUGGUGAAAAUAAAAGAAAAACAAAUCUUUAUUGGUUGAGUUGAGAAGACGUUGACGUAAAAACAGGUUUGAGAAUACUGACACUGAUCACUUUGUUAUUUCACUGGAAAAGACUUUGGAAAAUCCACUGGAGAAACCUCAGGAAACUAUCUUGCCUUGAUAGCAGGUCCUGGCAGUCACAAGCCAUAUUCCCGGAAAAGCCUCAGGAAAAGUCACUAGAAAAGCCUCUGGAAAAGCUUCUGGUAAAUAAAACCACUGGAAAGACCACUAGGAAAUCCCUCUGGAAAAGCCUUUGGAAAUGCCUCAGAAAAGGCCACUGGAAAUGCCUCUGAAAACUCUGUUAGUUUGGCAGCAAGUAUUGGUAGUUGAUGGUGAACCUUUAUCCCUAAUAGAAGGCUUGAAGGCUUCAGAGAGAUCUGAAGCUGGUUGAGUAGCUUGAAUUAAUGGUCUGAAUGAUCCGAUACACUAAUCUUUAUACUAUUGCUCAGAGCUCAUUCUUUCCCACUAUGUCACAUUUUGGGAGAAGAGACAAGUUGGUCCAUAAGAAGUCGCCCUCUAGUGAAUUCUUAAUUCAGUUCUAGGUGAAUUUGUGACGUCAGAGAUUUGAUUCCAGUUGCUACUUGUAAUCCAAAAUAUAAAACAAGUAUCAUCAACAAUCGUGUUGUGAGCUAACAAGAAGCAAGACUCGACCUGUCACUGUUGUACAUCGGCGAGAUAGGAGACAAGGCCAAACAUUUACUUUUAAUGUUUAUAAAACCAUGACGUCACAGAUGUUUACCAUGAAUUCGUCGAUUUGAGCGAAAAAAAAACCAACCACAUAAAAAACCGAUGUUGAGGGGAAAAUUGGAAAAUGCAGGCCGAGGCCUGAACAACAGCUAAGCUAGAUAAUAAUAAACUAAUAAUGUAUCUUUUUUUAUUCAUUAAGUAAUGGGCAGGCUCGCCUACAAGAUUUUUAUACAAAUAAUUUUCCUCACAUUCAAGUGGUUUUAUUAAACUACUCGGUGGUUGGUUUCAAGGCGAGUUAAAUUUAUUUGUUGAUAAUAUGUUUUUCGAGAUAUUAUUUUUGUAGGCUUUCAUUCUUGUGUAAUCGUUAAUAGGUAUAUAUUACGCAGGUUAAUAGGUUUCUUUUUUAUUUAUUAUUAUAAUAUCAGAUCAGAUUAUUUUGAAAUAAAGCAAAGCAAAAACGUUGAUAUUAAGUAAUAUUUGUUUAUAAAUCUUGAAGACAAGAUACAAUAUACUUAGAUGAAUAUAUUAUUAAAAAUUUCUUUUAUUCGAAAAAUAAUCAUUGCACUUCCUCGAAUAUCUUGUAAUAUGUUACAGCGUUUAGAUUAGGGACGACAGAAAGAAAUAGAAAAUUUAUUUGAAAAAAUGCAGUGACAUUCUAGAAGGGACAAUAUGUUUGAUCUUAGUCUUCUUUUGACCUUCACUUUUAAUAUCUACUGACCGAAUUGCAUGAUAGCGGUUAUCACUUCGAUUUUAUAUCGAAAAAGUGAGUUAUUUGAUGUGUACGUUAUAGAAAUCACUUAGUGAAUCAAAGGACAAUGCUACUUCGAGAUUGUACUCUCACGAUGCCAGAAUAUGUCAGAGACUGCACUGACUAAGAACAAUGCAUAGUAAACAGAUCCAAAGUAUUAUAUUUAUUUAUCAUGUUCUUGCUCUUCCUUCUACAAGUUGAUAAACGAUUACUACUUCAAUGAUUUUUCAUGAAGUCUUCUAAGCGGCAAUCAAAGUUCCUACUCAUAAAUACUCUAAUUACUGCUAAUUGUGUGGUUUAGAUAUAUUGAAAGUUGAAAAACCGCGAAUGUUUUUUUUUCAAGUGUACCUGAUUGCUGUGCCUUUGAUGAUUGUAUGAAUUACGAUCGGACAAUUAUGUAAUCGUAUGAAAUAAAUUUUAAAUUGCAUAUAUUCAGAAUAUUUAUAAAUAAAAACCGUAUGUACCGCGUUGCAAUGAAAUAUCUAAUGUUACUUCUACAAGUCAUCAUCAUUAUAAAUCAUUUAUAUCAAAUACUGUUUAUUUUUAAUAAAAAGUAACAAGACUGAUCGUCAA